rnacentral:rRNA from 1 species
GAUGAACGCUGGCGGCGUGCCUAAUACAUGCAAGUCGAGCGAACAGAUGAGAAGCUUGCUUCUCUGAUGUUAGCGGCGGACGGGUGAGUAACACGUGGGUAACCUACCUAUAAGACUGGGAUAACUCCGGGAAACCGGGGCUAAUACCGGAUAAUAUUUUGAACCGCAUGGUUCAAUAGUGAAUGACGGUUUCGGCUGUCACUUAUAGAUGGACCCGCGCCGUAUUAGCUAGUUGGUAAGGUAACGGCUUACCAAGGCGACGAUACGUAGCCGACCUGGGAGGGUGAUCGGCCACACUGGAACUGAGACACGGUCCAGACUCCUACGGGAGGCAGCAGUAGGGAAUCUUCCGCAAUGGGCGAAAGCCUGACGGAGCAACGCCGCGUGAGUGAUGAAGGUCUUCGGAUCGUAAAACUCUGUUGUUAGGGAAGAACAAAUUUGUUAGUAACUGAGCAAGUCUUGACGGUACCUAACCAGAAAGCCACGGCUAACUACGUGCCAGCCGCCGCCGUAA